rnacentral:rRNA from 1 species
UACGUAGGGUGCAAGCGUUGUCCGGAAUUAUUGGGCGUAAAGGGUGCGUAGGCGGCGCCGUAAGUCAGGUGUGAAAUUUCGGAGCUUAACUCCGAAACUGCAUUCGAUACUGCCGUGCUUGAGGACUGGAGAGGAGACUGGAAUUUACGGUGUAGCGGUGAAAUGCGUAGAUAUCGUAAGGAAGACCAGUGGCGAAAGCGGCUCACUGGACCACAACUGACGCUGAUGCGCGAAAGCUAGGGGAGCAAACAGG